UCCUACGGGGGGCAGCAGUGAGGAAUAUUGGUCAAUGGGCGGAAGCCUGAACCAGCCAAGUCGCGUGAGGGAAUAAGGCCCUACGGGUCGUAAACCUCUUUUGCCGGGGAGCAAGGGCGGGGACGUGUCCCGGCCCGGAGAGUACCCGGAGAAAAAGCAUCGGCUAACUCCGUGCCAGCAGCCGCGGUAAUACGGAGGAUGCGAGCGUUAUCCGGAUUUAUUGGGUUUAAAGGGUGCGUAGGCGGGGCGACAAGUCGGCGGUCAAAUGUCGGGGCUCAACCCCGGCCUGCCGUCG
rnacentral:rRNA from 1 species